rnacentral:rRNA from 1 species
GCAAGUCGAACGGGCUAGUGCUUCGCACUAGUCUCUUUCUGGGGUUGUUACUCUAAGGCUACCUGCUAAAGUUAUUGCUUUAAAGCAGGGGUUUUAGGAGAUUUCCCCGAAAGGGGCCAGUGCGGAGCACUGGCCAGUGGCGAACGGGUGAGUAACACGUGGGUAAUCUACCCUCGAGUGGGGAAUAAGCUUCCGAAAGGGGGUCUAAUGCCGCAUAACGUUUCAUAACGAUGGUUAUGAAACCAAAGCCCAAAAGGCGCUCGAGGAGGAGCCUGCGUCUUAUCAGCUUGUUGGCAGGGUAAUGGCCUACCAAGGCUAUGACGGGUAGCCGGCCUGAGAGGGUGUCCGGCCACACUGGAACUGAGACACGGUCCAGACUCCUACGGGAGGCAGCAGUGGGGAAUUUUGCGCAAUGGGGGAAACCCUGACGCAGCGACGCCGCGUGGAGGAUGACGGCCUUCGGGUUGUAAACUCCUGUCAGAAGGGACGAAAUCCCGCAAGGGACUGACGGUACCUUCAGAGGAAGCCCCGGCUAACUACGUG